CCGGGCUCCAGUCGCCCUCCACGGUCAGGGCCGGACACUCGGAGUCCUCCAUGGUUCAGGUCCAGAGUCAGACUGACGGAACCAGCCCAGCAGGAGGAGCAGACCGAACCGGACCGGACCUGGCAAUGAUGGCCCGGUUCACCUGAGGCAGGACACACCUGGACCGGUGAUGUCACGUGUGACGUAGUUCUAUUAUGACUGGACAACCACAAAUGACUGGCCGAUGCCGGAGAUGACGUCAGUGUUAUGCUUUUCUUCACAUGAACAAAGAUGGCAGGUGCAGAAUAUAUAAAGGACGUUAAAAGCAGGUUAAAAUCAGACACACAGCAGCUUCAAUGUUAGAGUCCAUCACCUGGUCAACCUGCGGGAUGUCACCAUUCAUUUUCUCAAGUCUAAAAGUGAAGAAAAUAUGAAGAAACAUUUAUACAUCUACCAGGGAAAAGACUUUUAACCAAAAAAUAAUAUGGCAGGUUUAGCAAUAUAAUUAAUAUCAUUUUAACUUUUGCAAUUUAAGUUUAAAUUAUCAUAUUUAUGCCUUCAAUUACAAACAAUUUUACUAAAUCAGUUCUUAAACGAAGUUCUAUAAAAAAAGAAGUUAGAAAAAUAUAAUCAAUAUCAUAUUCUUGACUUGUUACUCUAACCCAGUGGUUCCCACAGUGUGGGGCGCGGCCCCCUGGGGGGCGCAGUGCCAUUGCAGGGGGGCAGGAAGCGGCCUGGAUGAAUAAAAACAUUUA